ensembl:lncRNA LINC01722 long intergenic non-protein coding RNA 1722
AGUAAAUUUAAGGGAAUUGAAAUUAUAUAAAGUACUCUAUCAGACCACAGUGGAAUAAAACUGGAAAUCCACUCCGAAAGGAACCUUCAAAACCAUGAAAAUACAUGGAAAUUAAAUAACCUGCUCCUAAAUGAUCACUGGGUCAAGUAUGAAAUCAAGAUGGGAAUUAAAGAAUUCUUCAAACUGAAUGCAAAUAGUGACACAACCUAUCAAAACCUCUGGAAUACAGCAAAGGCAGUGCUAAGAGGAAAGUUCACAGCUCUAAAUGCCAACAUCAAAAAAUCUGAAAGAGCAUAAACGGACAACCUAAGUUCACACCUCAAAGAACUGGAGAAACAAGAACAAACCAAACCCAAACCCAGCAAGAAAAAGGAAAUAAACAAGAUCAGUGCAGAACUAAAUGAAAUUGAAAUAACAACGAAAAACAAUACAAAAGAUAAAUGAAACAAAAAGCUUGUUCUUGAAACCAGCUUAAUAAAUAAAAUAGAUAAAUAAAACUGAUUGAACAUUAGCAAAAUUAACCAAGAAGACAGAAAAUCCCAAUAAACUCAAUCAGAAAUGAAAUGGGAGAUAUUACAACUGACACCACAGAAAUACAAAAGAUCAUUCAAGGCUACGAUGAACACUUUCAUGCGCAUGAACUAGAAAACCUAGAGGAGGUGGAUAACUCCUUGGAAUGAUAUAACCCUCCUAUCUUACAACAGGAAGAAUUAGAUACCCUGAACAGACCAAUAACAAGCAGCGAGAUUGAAAUGACCCAGCUUGCCCCUCUGUCCUGGAAAUGAGCCUCAAUUAAUUUCUCCCAAGAAGGUGGGACAUCUGGCUCCACUGGACAGAUGGAGGUUGUUGGGGAACAGGUGGUAUUGGAUUACAUGAGCAAGUUCUUUAAUGGCAAUAAUGUGAAAGCUGACUAAAAACAACUGUUAAUGUAUGUGGAAGUACAUCUUUAUUGAGGGUAAAAGUUUGGUGGAGAACUGUUGAACUAUAGAACAAUCUCAGUGUUUCCAAGGUGGAAGCCAAGUGAUGGCCAGGGUCACAGUGAGCAAAUGGCAGAUGGGAUCUUGCAUCCUAGUCCCUCAGAACCUACAGCCUGGAGGCGGAGUUAAUGGUCACCACUUCCUUUGAAUGCAUAGGAACAAGCAGUCUGCAUGUUGUCUCAUUUAAUCUUUAAAACCACCCUAGUGAGCUGUAUGUGGGUCGCAAGUAAUUGAACUGCUCUAGGCCUCCAAAUGAAGAUGGUAAAACAUAUCCCACAGGGGUCAUGUGAAGUUAAAAUAAGAUGGAGUCUCACCCUGUCGCCCAGGCUGGAGUGCAAUGGCACGAUCUCGGCUCACUGCAACCUCUGCCUCCCACGUUCAACCGAUUCUCCUGUCUCAGCCUCGCGGAUAGCUGGGACUACAGGGUCUCACUCUGUCACCCAGGCUGGAGUGCAGUGGCAUGAUCUAGGCUCAACUUCUUCCUUCUGGACUCAAGUGAUCCUCUCACCUCAGCCUCCCAAGUAGCUGGGACUACAGGUCACUUCCCACUGAGAGCUGGUUUACACCCAUUUCAAACACCAUCUCCAAACUGAUACCUUGACUACGAGAUCAAGUGUCCAGAAUGUAACAGAAGCUGCCUAAUAUUUGGUAGAAGAAGAAAGGGAAGAGGAGAAUUCAGAUGCUAAUGGAGAAGUUCCCAUGAUAGUUCAUGAAUGUCAGAGAGGCCCCAGACUUUCAAGUUUGCUUUACUCAUUUAAUGGAAAACUGAAAAGGAGAUGAAGAUUUAAGUCAUUUUCCCAAAGCCACACAGCGGGCUGAGUGUAGAGCCUGGGUGUUAACCAAGAAUCCCUCUGGUGAUUUUUCAAGAAACACCUGGCCUGGCAAGGAAGACGCUGCAUCACAAUGUGAGGGUGGUUUUUUUCUUCUCAGUCUUUGAGAGGUGUGAGAGUGUAAGAGGGGCCUGUGUGCGGUCUCUGGGACCACUACCCCCCUCAGUCAGACGCUCCUGAGACCCCUAAAGGCUGUUUCCAAUCUCUGUGGGGUGUGGCCAGAGAGAAUGCAUCCACCCUCAACUUCACCACUUACGGCAUUUGUAAAAAUUUAAGUGCAUCUGAAGGCUCUCCAGCUUGAAACCCUGCAGAGCGGGAUGAAGCUCCCUGAGGGCUGUGGAAGCUGCAGCGUCAUUUUGAUACACAGCGGUUCUUGGAAAAAAUACUGCAGCCUCAGCCGGUGGCCGCAGACUGCUGCUUCUUAAAUGACUCCCCUCUGCCUUAGGGUUAAUGUGUGAGUCCUUAAGGUGGCUCAGGAGGCUCAGAAGGCACCUGUGCAGUUCAGCUUCCUAACUCCUACCACACCGGAGCUGUUUAGUCUCUGUCGGUCUUGUCUCCUCCUGUACAAGCUCUGGGAAGGAAGGGACCAUGGUUUUCUUAUUUACAUCUUUGUCCCCAGAGCUCAGCAGAGUUCCUGACACCUGGCAGGGGGAAGCUGCAUAGCAACCAAGGGUGAAUGACCUGAUAGCAAACACAACAGGUGAUCUGGAAAAACACUUAUUGGGAGAGAAACUUACAGAGACAUAACAGCACAAUUAUCCCCCAUCUCGGAAUUAGGCCACAACCAAGAUUAUAGAGUGCUAUGUUGCCUACUGGGACAACCAUGAAUGUACAUUGCUCAGAUAUCUCUACAAGAAAAAACUGCUGAAAGGAAUGCAAAUAGCUAACAGCCUACUGUAGCACCUUCAAGAUCUCCUGCAGCAUCUGAGCUGAGAGCACACUGUUCCCAAGCUGCCUCCAGUCAUUGUCUACAUGCUGCGGAGGGACUAGGGUCUGGGCUUUUCUAUUUAUUGAGAGACUCUUCUACAGUCAUUCUUUGCAUUGGAGCUCCCCACUGCGAUGCCUAAGACUUUCUCAGAGCUGCAUCACAGUUGUAGCCUCUUUCUGUGUUAUCCUCCUUUCUCUCCCUUCUCCAUUCAUGGCAUCAGGCCUGAAUAAUGGUCCAAAGGCUUUCUCUCACCCUUUUAUAUUUCACAGUUUUUACCUCAAUAAAUCCCUGAAGCUUC